UUUGGAGUUCUGCUUCGGAUAUGUAUAUAUGAUGUCCUAGCUCAGAUCUUAUCUUUUCUUUAAUAAAUGUGUCCCUAGUCUCUGAAGAGAGACUGUUUCCCUUGGUUAUUCCUUCAGGAAAUACUUUACUGCUAUCAGAACAUCCAAAUUCACCAUAUAUAUCAGCAUUAUCAACUCGUUCUUUGUAAUUUUGUUUCUGGAAAAUAUUCCACUUUUG
rnacentral:misc_RNA from 1 species